rnacentral:rRNA from 1 species
AUGACGCACGUCCUAGUUCAUCUAGUUGACGAGAUUGUCAUUCUGGGCCCCGUAUUUCUACACAAUAUGUACCCCUUUGAGAGGUUCAUGGGAGUCCUAAAGAAAUAUGUCCGUAACCGCGCUAGGCCAGAAGGAAGCAUCUCCAUGGGCCAUCAAACAGAGGAUGUCAUCGGGUUUUGUGUUGACUUCAUUCCUGGCCUUAAGAAGAUAGGUCUCCCUAAAUCGCGGUAUGAGGGGAGACUGACUGGAAAAGGCACGCUUGGAAGGGACUCAAUAAUAUGCAGGGACGGAUAUUCUUGGUCUCAAGCACACUACACAGUUCUACAGAACUCUACCUUGGUGACCCCGUAUGUCGAUGAACACAAGAACAGUCUACGCUCCAAACACCCGGAGCAGUGCGACGACUGGAUUACACGUGAACACAUCAGGACUUUUGGCCGUUGGUUGCAAACACAUCUCAUGGGUGACAAUGCUGUUUCUGAUGAGCUGUAUUCAUUGGCCAUGGGACCAUCUUCGACUUUAUUGACUUAA